CUUUGUCGGCGCCGGGCCGGGCCGGGUUCCGCGGAGGCCGCGCUCGCUGCCGUUGGUGCGCGCUCCCGGCCGGCGCCGCGCCCCCGCCCUCCUGUCCUCCCGUCCUCCCUCCCUCCCCGGCCGCCGAGGGGCGGGGCGGCGGCGGUAGCAGCAGCAGCAGCAGCGAGCAUGUCGUCGAGCAGGGCCAAGAAAGUGAAGAUGGCCACCAAAUCGUGCCCGGAGUGCGACCAGCAGGUUCCUGUUGCAUGUAAAUCGUGUCCCUGUGGCUACAUAUUUAUUAGUCGAAAACUCUUGCAUGCUAAACGUGCUGAGAGAUCGCCACCCAUUACAGAAAACAAGAGUGAGGCCAAAAGGAGACGGACAGAGAGAGUUAAGCGAGAGAAGAUAAAUUCUGCAGUAAAUAAAGACUUAGAAAACCGAAAGAGAUCGAGGACUAACAGCCAUUCAGAUCAUAGCAGACGAGGAAGAGGAAGACCUAAGAGCGCCUCAGCCAAAAAGCACGAGGAAGAAAGAGAGAAACAAGAAAAAGAAGUUGACAUGUAUGCUAACCUUUCAGAUGAAAAGGCCUUCGUAUUUUCAGUGGCCUUGGCGGAAAUAAACAGAAAAAUUAUCAAUCAAAGACUUAUUCUGUAACUUGUAAGCACAAUCUGAUGCAUUUAUAUACGGAAUGGCUAGCAUAUUUCCAAGGUGUCAUGGACUCUCGGAAAGCGUGUUGUCUGCACCAAUAAGGACCAUAGUAUUUCCUGUUAAAAUUCUGCUGCUGUUUUUGGAAAUCACAUUCUGUCUCUGCAAGUGAGAAAGGAAGUGUUCUCAAGAUUGUGCUAUGAAAAUCAGAAAGCAGAAGUGUUUUAUGCCUUGAAGACAAGUGCUAGACAAAUGCACAGAGAGACUGCACCCAUGCUAGAGCACUUCUUUUAGAUUUGCUGCCAGAAAUGCAAUAUUUUAAAUAUUUUCAGAAAUUAAUGAUUUUCCUUUAAAAUCAUAUAUUUCAGAUUUUUGGCUGUAUUGCAGUUUACUAAAUGAGAAUUUGUGAACGCAAGACCUACUUCCCUACAUCAUGUAAAUUUCUGCUUUCCAGGGCUGUAGCCUGUCACAGAUAAAAGUAGCAAGGACAGAUGAGUAACUCUUAAGGAUAGAGAUAAUGCAUCAUAACAGCUGUCUGCAUGGUAAGUUAAAGUCAGAGUGACAAAAGGGGAGUUCUCACUUUGCAAACUUAAGAUAUAGUCAGGUUUGUGUUGCUUCUGUUGCCAGAAUGAGAUUUACUGUGUUAAGAGAGAAAGGGAAAUACUAAUGCCCAGCUGUCUGGUGCUCUAACCUGCAUUCCUGCAGGUGCCUGUUUCUUUUUACUCCUGUAUAUGGAAUGAAUGUUCUUGUAAUAGAUGUUCUCUUCAUCAGAGGACUGCAGCUGAUGUUAAAUGUCUUGUUAAGAUUUCUACACUUAGACUGGUGCCUUUACUUUACUGUUAAGUACUGAAAAAUAUAUUAAUACCUCUCAAAUGUGCAAUGCCCUUUUUCCUCUUCAUUGGUGGAAAAUCUUGAACCAGUGGUCAAGUUCUAUUUCUGUGCUACUUCUUUUUGUUUUCCCCAGGUCUCUACUGUCAAUUCUUUCCCAGUUGUGUUCGUGCUAUUUUUCUUCCUUUAUUGGCUUCCAUUUCCUUUGCACAAGCUGUGAUAGAUGCAGGUUGUUCUCAGAAUAUCCUAGGGAGGGGUUAGCUCUUUGCUAGUGGACCACAAUGGAUCUUGCUAAACAAGAGUUCAGACUUGCUCUUAGCACCAAUCAGAAACAAAGCACUGUUUCCUAUAUAGAUGGGACACUUUAGAAUCUUCCUAAAGCACUGGUAAUUCUGUAACUGUAAUAUCAUAAGACAUAGAUCUCUUGGAAUAUAUCCAGCGAUUGAAAUGUAAAUUGUCCUGCAUCUCAGGAUUCAAGAGUUCUUUCUUUGUGUUUGAGAUGGUGAAGGGAUAAAAAUAGUGGUAAAUGAUUGUAAAUUAUUGUUAUUAAAUGUAUUGCAUCUCAGUCUACAAAACUGUAAAAUAAAGUCAAUGACAGCUAAAUGAUGACAGAGUAAAAUCCUGUGUAUUGCAAA